rnacentral:rRNA from 1 species
AUUGAACGCUGGCGGCAUGCCUUACACAUGCAAGUCGAACGGUAACAGGUCUUCGGAUGCUGACGAGUGGCGAACGGGUGCGUAAUACAUCGGAACGUGCCCGAUCGUGGGGGAUAACGAGGCGAAAGCUUUGCUAAUACCGCAUACGAUCUACGGAUGAAAGCGGGGGAUCUUCGGACCUCGCGCGGGCGGAGCGGCCGAUGGCAGAUUAGGUAGUUGGUGGGAUAAAAGCUUACCAAGCCGACGAUCUGUAGCUGGUCUGAGAGGAUGAUCAGCCACACUGGGACUGAGACACGGCCCAGACUCCUACGGGAGGCAGCAGUGGGGAAUUUUGGACAAUGGGCGAAAGCCUGAUCCAGCCAUGCCGCGUGCAGGAUGAAGGCCUUCGGGUUGUAAACUGCUUUUGUACGGAACGAAAAGCCUCUUUCUAAUAAAGAGGGGUCAUGACGGUACCGUAAGAAUAAGCACCGGCUAACUACGUG